ensembl:lncRNA
AUUUAUUACCCGCCGGCCGUCUUUACUCCCAACGGCUCGGCCCGACCGGCGGCUGGAAGGGCCAGAACGGUUCUGUCGCAAUGGAAGGAACCACACAUUGGAGCUUAGCAUCAAAUGCUAUCAGCCUCGUAUUUCCCCUGCGAUGAGGACGUCGGCGGCAACGGCCAGGACGUAGAAGGCAACGACGGAACCUUCAUCUGAUGACGGGACCGAGGUGAUGAUGACAGAACGUUUCGACGGACCUCGGCAACGACUGGCCGAUAACGAAGAAACAACGAACAAAGACGGGACGCAGGUAAUGGCGGUACAGGGACAAAGGUGACGGAAGAUAGGACGUAGGCGAUGACAAAGGAACAGAGCGGACACAGACCCGGUGAGGGGGUAGUAAGUCAUCUGGAUGGGGAGGGAUGAGACGGACCCCCCGCUGCCUGGAAGACAUCUGCUCUCCGUUUUUCUUUCACGCCUUUCGAGAAGCCGCAUCGCUGCGCUCUCUCCGCCUCUGCCGCUACGUACAAACGUGGCUGCGAGCUGAGCUGCCUCCCAAACGGGGCUUUAGUUCCCUCGGUUAAGAAGGUUGCCCAUCCGAAAAGGAGGAGGUGGAUGAAACCUCGCAGAAGGAAAGAGAGCGACUAGGAGAACGGGUGAAGCAAUGCCUUAAAGCUUCGGACAACUACGAGGGCAAACGGAUGAUCGUUGGCUUCAGGCGGUUGGAGGAGCAGACUUGAGCUCCUGAAUUUAGGGGUUGCUUGUGCAAUGCAAUGAAUACAAUUUGCUGUGUCAUUGGUUGGGGAGCCAGUGGGGUUUAGUCUGGAAGCAAAGCGGGUUAUGCCCAAUUUAUAAAGAAAAGAAAAGAAAAAACACGUUGCGUUAUUUCCCAUGAAAAGGAGAAAUCUUGAUCUCUAAAUCAAAACCAUGUAGUAGUUUCACGGCUCCACAAUCAGAGCUUUGGAUUGCAAAACGCGCUUCUCACUUAUCCUGUUUAAUCCUUCCCUUUCCCACCUGAAGAGAGGCGAUUGUUGCGGGAGAACCAGCGCGUCCGGGUUCACGUCCAGAAACAUUUCCCCAUUUAAAAGAGGCAGCCGUGGAGUUUGGGGUUGGAUUAGAUUAUUCACACAUUUUUCUGCCUCCUUGGCAGAGACUUCCUUUUCUCUCAACAGCUGCUGAAACUCUCAAAAGUUUUAUAAAGGUUUGCAUGACCUCUCCGACGACACUUCUCUCAUUAGGAAAUAUAUAUAUAUAUAUAUAUAUAUAUAUAUAUAUAUAUAUAUAUAUAUAUAUAUAUAUAUAUAUAUCACAUCUCGUGGGAGACGCUGAGAAGCGUCUCUUUUUAUAUCAUAUCCAGCUGAGAGAGAAAACUGUAUAUACUUCUGAUUCCCAAAAAGUGUAAACAUUUUGGGAGAAUUGCACCGAUGUGCUCUCUCUCUGAGAGUCUAAUACCUAGCCUAGCAUAGCGUGUUUAGCCUACCAUAGCGACGGGACGUGGGAGAAAAGGACAAAUGUCCCAAAAACACGCUUUUGUGCAUCUUCUUGGUUUUUAAUGCAAACCUGAAUUGCGUAGAAACAACAGUUUGCAGUGUUGCAAUCAGGCAAUCAGACAUCAGACCUCUUCCACCUCCUGUCCAUCGGGGCCUUGGGGAG